UGGGACAGAGCCAGAGAAGGGGCUGGGGGAGCUGGAUGGAGCCAGAUGUGCCCAAGUAGUUCCCAGCAGGUGGCUCUGGGGCAGAUGGGGGUUGGCCACAGGUGUCUGUUAAUGAUGCCUCAGCUACAGGGGCUUUGGGCCACAGAGGGGAGGCCUAGUGGCUGGGGACAGAUUUCAACGCGCCCCCCCCCCCCCAGCCUCCUUUGGAAACAGUGGGCUCUGCCCGGGCUCAGUCUCUGGCUGGCCUGCGGGCUGCCUCUUCCCUGACAGCCUCUCAGCUGGUCUCUGCUGCUCAGGGCCUCAGGCUCCUUUCCCUGGGGUGUCUCCGCCCUAAGGCUGUGAUCUCUAGGGAGAGCAUGUGCCCCACUGUGCCCAGACCCUGGUCCCAGCCCUGGAUCUAGGGGCACAGCAUGGCUAGCCCAGAUGGUCAGAUUGUGGCCCGGUGAGGCAGGCCCCAGGGCCGAGGGCGAGCCCCACUUCCUCUGCGGUCCUUGUGGCAGAAAGGAGGGCAGCACAGGAGCCAGGAGACCAGGCAGGAGCAGGGUGGGCUGGGCCAGGAGGCUUCCUGACCUGGGGCUCAGGGGGGAGAGUCGAGGAGGGCCGAAGGAAGGGGAAUCCAAUUUGAUAACUUGUAUUUAUUAAUUUUCUUUUGGUACUGGGAAUUGAAUCCAGGGCACUUAACCACUGAGCCAUAUCCCCAGCCCUUUUUAUUUAGAGACAGGAUCUUGCUAAAUUGCUUAAGGCCUUGCUAAAUUGCCAAGGCUGACCUCAAAUUUAUGAUCCUCCUGCCUCAGCCUCCUGAGCCACUGGAUAAGAGGCCUGUGCCACAGCACCUGGCUCUUCCAAUUUGGGACAAAGCAUAUCCCCACCCAGGAGCUGUACCACUCAUUCACACUUAGAAUGGCAUUUCAUAAAUUAGAAUUUUCCAUGAAGACAGUCUGUCAUCUGAUGUAUGAUGUUCCCAGGAGGCCAUUUUGAUCUAGAUAAUCUCAGAGACAAUAGAGUACUUGAGAGGGAUGCAAAUUUUCAUGGCCAGGACAAAAUUUCCUGCCUAGAAAGAAACCAUGAAGGAAAGGUCUAGGGGAGGGAGGAAGAGAGAGAGAGAGAGAGAGAGAGAGAGAGAGAGCGCGCUCGCUCCUGGGCCCUGCCCAGGCACCUGCCCCAGAGUCUCCAGGGUAGGAAAGAGCUCCCAGCUCACUGCCACGGGCACCAGGGCUGUGGGACCCUUGCGGCCAUGCCCCUCUCCCCACCAUGGCGCUCAGGGAUCUGCAGAGUGCGGGUGGAAGCUAACGUGGCACAGCCCGCUGGUCCCUGGGCCUCGGGCCUCUGAGGGGCUCACAGUGCAGAGAGGUGGGGUGCUCCGUGUCCAUCAGUGGAGCUGGCUGACCUCUCAGCAGGCAGCGCUGGCUCUACCUGCACCAGGUGUGCAGGUGAGGAUGCGGCGUUGCUCACAGACCCACCUGUGUCUUGGUCCCUUUUCUGUCCCCAGGAGAUCCCUUGGUCCUGGGCAAGCUGGGGCUGUGGGCACGGUACAUGAGAGCCUACUGAGGUGGGCACAGGUGGGAGGGCAGAGUUGGAGGGUCAGAGGGCCAGCAGUGACCCAGCCCCCAGGGCCUUCCAGCACCUUCUCUUCCUGCCUUCCCAGGCCUUCCCAGGCCCCGCACAGGCUCUGCCCUGCCCUGUCCUGGAGAGUGUUGUUUUUUCUCACACCCACACAUGUACAUUCACAAGCAAAGAAAACAAAGAAGCAGGUAUUGUUCAAACUUAGGUCAUAUUGUAGGAAAAGGUGGUGUAAGUCAAAAGAUAAAAACUGGGCCGCUCUUUCCCACAGAGUCCGUCCCCGUGAGAAGCCGAGCAGGGAAGGCGCUCUGUGGAAGUUCUGUCCUGGCCUGGAGUGUUCCCAGAGUUCUUGGCUCACUCCAGUACUUUCUCAAGCCAUCAGACCCCAAACGUAAUGAACUGAUGAUUAAGUGCCCUCCUCACCGUGUAAGUUCCCUCCAAGGGCCAGGUGUCCGAGGAAGGUGCCUGUGGCCAUUGCUGCAGGCAGAGUGCUUUCAAAAGGUGCCUAAGUCAUAGCUGCUCAGGCCAGAGCCGGGCUUCUCAGCUCAGCUGUGCAAACCUGCUGUCCAAGGUCAGAUCCAGUUCAACAGGGGAGUGACAGUGGUGGGGACGAGUUGAUGCUGGGGCCAGCCUUGGCCAGGGAGCUGUAGCUGAAUGGGGGGCCACCAGAGAGGUGUCCUAUCUACUGGACAUGGAUCUUUGAGGUGGUCAAAUACACUUGGAAGUCAGGUGUGGUGGCACACACCUGUUGAUCCCAGCGACACAGGAGGCUGAGGCAGGAGGAUUGCAAGUUUAAGGCCAGCCUGUGCAACUUAAUGAGACCCUGUCUUAAAAUAAAAAGGGCUGGAGGUGUAGCUCAGUGGUAGAGUACACCUGGGUUCAGUCCCCUACACUGCAAAGAAACAAAACAGAACACAACCUGGGCACACCUGUAACCCCAGUGGCUCCGGAGGCUGAGUCAGGAGGAUCAUGAGUUCAAAGCCAGCCUCAACAGUGGUGAGGCGCUUAGCAACUCAGGGAGACCCUGUCUCUAAAUAAAAUACAAAACAGGCCUGGGGAUGUGGCUCAGUGGUCAAGUGCUCCUGAGUUCAAUCCUCAGUAUACCCCCCCCCAAAAAAACCCCACAAACCCACUUGGGAACUAUCCCCGCCCUCCCUAGUUCUGGAGACCUCAGUGUGCAGGAGCUAUUGGCGCUGGAGAAGUUUUCCCGGCAUGUUAAUUAACAGCCCGCGGCAUUAGGAGUGAGUUCUCAGAAGCCUGUAUCCAAUUAAACCGGAGAAGCAGGAAGGCUCCUUUUGGAAUCUUGAUGCAGCUAAGCAGGGAGGGCACAGGCCCAGGGCAGCGCACGGGAGAACAGUCCCGGAGAGGUCUGUGAGCACCGUCAGGGGGAGCAAGACGGGGUGGUGGGGUUUCCAAAUUAACAGGUUGCUUAAAAUAAGGCCAGGCCUGACUGCAGGCUGGUGCUGAGUAUGUCCCUGCUCUGGAGGGUGCCCGCCUCUGUCUGGCCUCUGUAAUUAAGGACCCAGCGAAUCUUCCCUACCUCGCAGACUCCAGGAGGAAGGGGCUGCCAUGCUAAUGGGACAAGGGGCAAGUGCUGUGGGAGACGUUCAGACUUCCCAGAGUUUCCUGCUUUCCUACAGAAUCAGAGAACACAUCCGCCCUUCCCAGAGAGGAACAGACACUGGCAUUCACUGUGGCCGCAGCGGGAGGGCUGCUGGGUCCAGCGUGGCACGGGCUCCAGGCCAGGGCUUCCAGGCUGUCUAGGGAGGAUGUGCCACCAGCUGUCACUUGGCCCUGUGGCGUGUCCUUUAGAGACAGUGCCGUUUCUCAGGGAGCACCCUGCCUUU
rnacentral:lncRNA from 1 species